GACGAACGCGGCGGCGUGCCUAAUACAUGCAAGUGGGACGCAAGGAAACACACUGUGCUUGCACACCGUGUUUUCUUGAGUCGCGAACGGGUGAGUAACGCGUAGGUAACCUGCCUAUUAGCGGGGGAUAACUAUUGGAAACGAUAGCUAAUACCGCAUAAUAUUAAUUAUUGCAUGAUAAUUGAUUGAAAGAUGCAAGCGCAUCACUAGUAGAUGGACCUGCGUUGUAUUAGCUAGUUGGUAAGGUAAGAGCUUACCAAGGCGACGAUACAUAGCCGACCUGAGAGGGUGAUCGGCCACACUGGGACUGAGACACGGCCCAGACUCCUACGGGAGGCAGCAGUAGGGAAUCUUCGGCAAUGGACGAAAGUCUGACCGAGCAACGCCGCGUGAGUGAAGAAGGUUUUCGGAUCGUAAAGCUCUGUUGUAAGUCAAGAACGUGUGUGAGAGUGGAAAGUUCACACAGGACG
rnacentral:rRNA from 1 species